CUGCGGAGACUCCUCCUUCGCUGAACCUGAUGUCUCUAUGGUGAAAGGAAGCCCAAAGUUUAAUUUGAAUUCGGUGCUGAUUGGUUCAGGGGCAGCGUCCUUUCAGCGGCGCUGGAGUUUAACCAAAGCCGUGCGGAGCGUUUCCAAUUAUCAACCUUUCUGUUUUGCUGUCAACGUUGUUUUUUUUAAUCGAGAGGUACUUCUAACCUUUCGCUGUAUGAUCGGACAACAUGAAGGCCUCCUGCGAGUCGAACAUCGAGAACGAUUUAGAGACGUAUCUGAAAGGUUUAAGAGAAAGGGCUAAUGAAAGCAUCCAGAAAUUGAAGUGUACUCUAGAAGAAAAAAAUCAGGCAGAAUCGUCAGAAUCAUCUUCACUAGCUGACACUGUCCAGACAAAUUCAGUAAGUCCGUCAGCGAGGAGACAGUGUCACAGUCAAGUGGCAUGGCAAGAACUAAAGCACAGUCAUGCAGUUAAUGAGCUCCGAGCCCUAUUGCGACAUCAAGAAAUGGAACAACGACCAAGUUCGGCAGCUGCGACCAGCACACAUCCCAUGAGAACCGUAAAUGAUUCGGAUUGUCCCCCAUCCAUUGAUGAUCUUGUACCUAUUAUCAAUGACCAGUCAGAAUAUAUCCAACAUUUGGAGGCAGAAGUCAAGCUUUUCAAGGAGGAACUCUUGAAUGUGAAAGAACGGGUGCAGAUUGUUGUAGUUGAAAAUGAAAAACUUCAUGAGCAACUAAGGGCAAGAGCUGUUCAGGCUACUAUGAAUGCACCAUCUGUCUGUCCUUUAUCACCAAAUUCACAAGCAACUUGUUUAGUGGACCAAAAGGCCGUCAAAAGACCGGAAGUGCUGGAGCCAAUCUCAUUAGCAAAAGACCAAAAUCAGCCAUCUUUUAUUUCGACACAACCAGAGAGCAAAACUGUUACAGAAGAAAUCAAAAAGUUACAGCUAGAAGUGGAAAAUCUUAACGUUCUUUACCAAGGAAAGACUGAAACACUGGAGACUCGGGUUUCAUUACUCAGAAAAGAUCUGUCUGAAUCUCAAAAGGAAUGUCAACAGCUGGAAGAACGAUUAAAGGUUCAAGAAUCUUUGCUUGCAAUAGACAGUUCAGAACGUGUUUCUGGUCUCUGUGUAAAAUGUGCCCAACGUGAGGCAGUUCUGGCCCGGACCCAUAAUGAUACGGAAACGAAGGCGGUUGAGAGAUUAAGGAAAGAACGAGAUGACUUGAUGAAUAUGCUGGCGACUUUGCGAAGCAAUAUGAGUGAAAUGCAGGCCAGGGAAGACUCUGCAUGUCGGCAAGUGAAACAAGCUACGGAAGUAGUAGAAGAAGCUAAUUUGGAGAAAAUACAGGCUCUGGUCCGUUGUGAGCAGCUGAAGAAUGAGAUGUUGCGUCAGAAAGAACGGCUAGAAAGGGAGUUAGCUUCUCAGCAAGAAAAGAUCGCAAUUGCGAAGAAGGCUGUGCAUGAAGAAAUGAGGAAGGAAAGAGAAGCAUUGGCAUCAAAGGUGACCUGUUUGUCAGAAAAUGUUACUUGUCUCGAAGGUCAGUUACAGAGGUUGGUGAGAGAAAGGGAUUCAGCGUGUAAUCAAUUGGAAGAAGCUCAGAACAAGCUAAUAAAUCAUGAGAUGGAGAUCAAUAAGGAAUCUGGUGAACUGCGUUAUCAGCUGAAUGAACUCAAAAUCAAGAAAGAAGAGGCUGAGAAGGAGUUCAGGGAAUACAAAACGAAAAUGAUACGAGAAUUUGAACUCCGAGAACAGGAGCUACAGAAACUUGAAUUGAAACUAAAUGAAACUAAGUGCCAUUUGGAGCAUGUCCAGCAGGAUGCAGCAAGAUCGAAGGAUGAAUGUCUAAAACUGAUGGAACUACUGAGCAAAUCUGAGCACCAACUGCACCUCACCAGGAUGGAAAAGGAUAGUAUACUCCACAGUCACAGUGAUGAUGUCAAGGCCCUGGCCUUUCAAUCCCAACAACGUGAACAAGAGCUAACAGAAAAGAUACAGCAAAUGGAGGCCCAGCAUGAUAAAACUGUUAAUGAACUGGAGAUAUUACUUAGCUCCCAGAAUAAACUGAUAAACAAAUUGAAAGCAGAAUGUCAGACAUUAAACCAAAAACUGGAGAAGAUUACAGAAAAAAACAGAUCAGAGGUUGGCCAACUUUGCCAGGACAAGGAGUAUUUACAGGAUAGAUUAGAGAAACUGCAAGCAAGAAAUGAUGAAAUGGAAAAUCAGUGUAUUCAGCAUGGAACAAUGCAUGAGAGAAUGAAACAGAGACUGCAACAGUUGGACCAGCACAGUCAGGCCAGUGCACAGCAGGUGGUGGAACUACUGCAAAGACAGAAUGAGCUGCUAAAGGAGAGACAAGCCCUGUUGGAAAACGUGCAGUGCCUGAAAUCAUCAGGAAAUGUCACAGGCAAAGAAUCCAAACUUUGAAAGAAACCAGGAAAACACAACAAAUCAGUCAACAUUCACACAGAAAAAUACAGCCUCCUGUUACGUCGUAAGACCAGAGGACCAACAAAUGAUCAACUUUAUGUCAAUCUGCAAAAUUUUAAGAAGUACAUUUUAACUGAUCUGUUUUGUACAUAUUUUUGAUAUUAAAUGAAUAAAUACAGGUAUAUUGUGGAUCAUUAUUAAAACAAGUUAAAAGUGAUUAUUUUGCAUGGGUAUACCACCACGGUGAAGAGUAAUUUGCCCUUAAAGACCAAUAGAUUACAACUUUACUCAUUGUACUGAUUUCAUGUACAAACAGAUGCCUGAUUGCUUUACUUCAGCUGCAGAUAAAUAAACAUGUUCUGAACCUCUUCAGACUCACCUAGUGUUUCUUCAAAUUAUAAAAGUAUUUACUUGAUUAUUAUAAAUUAAUUUGAAACAGAGGCAAUGAUCUGUAUUUUGAAAGAAGUAGAUUUUGCUGAAUGCAUAACAGCAAAAAUGUGCAAAAACACUUGUCAUAAAAAAUGGCAGCAGAACCAUGCAAGUGUAAACCUUUUCAAAUAGAUUUACCUGUUAUGUGACAAAUAACCAGAAUUUCAGACAACUCGAUGUCAGCCUUCUUCAGUAUUUGAUACUGUGCUGAAAAGACAUUUGUAUAAAACAAUAUCUGUGUACAUUGUUUUAAUUGUCUUAAAAUUCUACCUAAUGAAAUUUGUGAUGCUAUCAAUUCAAAAUGCAUGCAUUAAAAUGUCUUUUCCCUAAGUUUAAAA